ACAGGGAGACGAGGAAGUGAGCAGACACGAGAGUUGUGGCUGAAAUGUGCCACGAAUGUCAGCGACGCAGCCGCCGAACACGCCAUUUGUUCACUGACAGCUUUUCGUGACUUACUGUACUCUCAGCAUCAGCGUACAUCUCUGUGGAUCAGUCAGUGAAACAGAGCUCCCUUUACCUAAGUUAUAGACUUCUGUUGAAAGUGAAGACCAAGAUUUAGAGGGCUGCAUUUUCCAUCCGAUCACAUUUUGCCUUACAUCACAUCCAUCCAUUAGCUGUACCACUUGUUCUGUUUCAGGGGGCGCGGAGCCAAUCCCACAGCCGGGCUACCUGCCAGCCCUGGACGGGCAGCCAGUCCGUCACAGCGCUGACACAUAGAGACAAACAACCAUUCGCGCUCACAUUCACACACCUCGGGGGCCAUUCAGAGCAGCCGAUUAACCCAACCUGCAUGUCCUCGGUCUGUGGGAGGAAGGCGGAGUCCCCGACAGGACAUUAAAACUCCACACGGAAAGGCCCCCGGCCGGCUGGCAGGUUCACGCCCAGAACCUUCUCGCUGUGAGGCAGCGGCGCUUACAUCAUCACAAUUCCGGUUAAUUAAUGCUUGACCUCUUGACCUUUCACCUUCACUGUUCCACUGGUGAACUUCCACCAUGUCAGUUUUCAUCAAUCUACAGUGCAUUAGUUCCUUUCCUAGCUCGCCGCUCUACCACGAUUCCGCAAUGUCAAAGCACCUUUCGUUCACAACUACGUCGCAAGGAUUGGAAAUUUUGACUUUGGCGUCUCUGAGCUGAAAUGGCAAAAAAAAUAAUACAAACACGCUUUCAUGAAGCAUCAAUUUCCACUGUCUUUUUCCACUAAUCAAAAUUUGUCAUCAGAUUAACUGAUGAUGUGGUAGAAGUUAGGGGUCGACCGAUAGGGCUUUUUCCGGGCUGAUACCAAACCAAUUAUUACUAAUCUUAGAGACCGAUAACCGAUAUUUGAAACCGAUAUUUGACUGCAGUAAAAAAAAAAAGUGUCACAAGGCAACAAUCCUCGAGCAGCCACAUGGUCAUAAAUACAGCAGAAGAGCAACACUGUACAAAAAAGACCCCUCACACUUUGUUUAAAUAAGAAAGUGAGCCGAUAUAAUUGCGGCCUAAUUGGAUUUCAUCCGGCGCACAGCACGAGCAGUUUUCCACACAAAGGCAACCGGACUCAGAACCGGUGACAGGAGUUGGUGAGCUUGCUGAGAAGUUGGAGGUGUGCGACCCGUUUACCGCGGCUCUUCAACUACUGGUUGGUCACAAUGGCUUCAAAGGACCUGGGGUCCUGUUGUCCUGAUGCCAUCUAUGAUAAACUAUCACAGUCAGCACUAACCUCAGUGGCAAACCAUGUUUCCUGGGACCGUCUGACAAUAACUGUCUGCUUCUCACCAAACAAAUGACCAGAUUGUCCCAUAGAGAUUUGACCAUAUGAAUGUUCACUCGUCUACCUGUAGACCCUUCUUCACUAUUAGAAUCUCCACUCAGGGACGAGGGGCCCGAUUUCUUAUUGUGUAGCUGUUUUCAGACAUUAACUCCGGAUAAUGCCCGGAACAUAGAACCCAGCAGGAGAUUGUCCAAGUCGUACGCAUCCACAACGGCUAGGAGCCACAUUCUCCUGCUGUAUUCUCACAUGGGCUCACUCUGAUAUUUUCUGGAGUCUUAUUUCUAGGGGGCUGGCAGGAAACGUUCUGGGAGAUGUCCAGACGGCAGUGCAGUGUCUGAAAGCAGCUUCUGGCGAUUGCUGGCGAGCCUGUGACACAGUGGGGCACAACACAACUGUCAAGUUGUAUUCCAUCAUUGCGCCCAUCAUCACCGUGAUGGAUCAUCCCACGGUGCAAUGCACCCAACCGUCGGCAUCUGCUCUCAAACGGCGAGCUGAGACUGUGCCGUGCGCGGAGCGGAUUGGCCCAAGGGUCCGUCAGAAAAUGAAUAUUGACACGGCCACGGGAAAUGGAAGAAGUGAAAUUCGCAGUGAAUUAAAAGGAGAACAGUAUAGGCCUCAAACUAAAGUUCUUAUUUGAUGGUCUGAUGGCGUCUGAACCCACGAACCCCCGCUCACACCUUUCCAUUGUCAGAGUUGGGUGGAUUUGCCUCUCACUUGUCUGCAGCUGACAGCCUGACAAGUUCGCCCCCUUCACGCUGCUGCCAGGUGCGUGUACAAAUGUGAGGAAGUGGAGGCUCUCUUUUCUCCUUUUUUUACACAAUAUUCGAUCCUGUUUUAAUCAUUCAAAAUACUAAAUUCUGUGUGCUAUUGUUAGUACUAUUUGACCAGAUUGCUGAAAACCCUCAAGACUGUUCUCCAUUUGCAACCUGCAACAUUAUAAACAUCAUAAGCCU